rnacentral:rRNA from 1 species
GACGAACGCUGGCGGCGUGCUUAACACAUGCAAGUCGAACGGAAAGGCCCUGCUUUUGUGGGGUGCUCGAGUGGCGAACGGGUGAGUAACACGUGAGUAACCUGCCCUUGACUUUGGGAUAACUUCAGGAAACUGGGGCUAAUACCGGAUAGGAGCUCCUGCUGCAUGGUGGGGGUUGGAAAGUUUCGGCGGUGGGGGAUGGACUCGCGGCUUAUCAGCUUGUUGGUGGGGUAGUGGCUUACCAAGGCUUUGACGGGUAGCCGGCCUGAGAGGGUGACCGGCCACAUUGGGACUGAGAUACGGCCCAGACUCCUACGGGAGGCAGCGGUGGGGAAUAUUGCACAAUGGGCGGAAGCCUGAUGCAGCGACGCCGCGUGCGGGAUGACGGCCUUCGGGUUGUAAACCGCUUUCGCCUGUGACGAAGCGUGAGUGACGGUAAUGGGUAAAGAAGCACCGGCUAACUACGUG